ensembl:lncRNA
AAUACUGUGCAUGAUGUUUUGUUUUCCACCCUUCUGUUCUCGUUUCCUGCCUCUUCUCCAAGGUCCAGGUCUAACCCUUCUAACACAGUUCAUUAACCGGGUCAAGAGAAGAUCUGGACUCUAGUUUCAACUUUUCAUUGUCUUUCUUGGCGUCAUUAGCAGUUCACUUUACCUCUGCCCUUCUGCUUCCAGUCUCACUUCCUACUUGCAAAUACAGACAAAACCAUAGCCUUCACUCUGUUUGUCCAAUGCAUCCAAAUGGGACGGUGGUGGAGAAAAAAACAGCAGCUGUAGAGUCUCAAUAAAUUAUCCUAACACCCCUAAUUCAGGCAGUGCCAUUUAUGUUGGGGAAAUGUUAAGUAAAUCAGUGCUUCAUUUGUAUCAGUGUUCUAAUAGAGAGGGAACAUUUUCAUCUUUCUCGUCUAGUUUGCGUACAUGAAACUUAAAGAAAAUUAAAAAGCCUAGAUAUACUGUCAGGAAUUUCAUUAUGCUCUCUUCUAGGGAAAGGAAGUCACUGGUAAUAUCUAACAUAUCAUGAAGAAAGACGAACAACUCAGCAAGGCCUUGUCCUCUCUUUUCUCCCCCAAGAAGAGAAUGGGUCAAUGGUUACUUCACAGGCCAUUUCAGCCUCUAUUUGUGCUGAGAAAGGCACAAACAGGACAAAAGCUACUCCAUUGGCUAAUAGAAGGAGGAGAACUGCGUGGUGAUGGAUGUGUGAAAAUGACAUGCCAAAAGAAAACAGCACUCCCCGUUUCUUCCCUAGGGGAGAGAGGGGAAGAGCAAACCACAUGUGACAGUGUCAGUCAUGUUGCUUAAUGGACUGCUCUGGGACUUUCAGAUAGUACAGUGAUGUGGACAACAUAAGAACCUGUUUGGAGCUGCACAGCAUAGCAGUAAAAUGGAGAAAACUUGAAGGUCAUGCUCCAGAUUUUAGAAGACAGAGUGAAAAAGCACUGCAUCAGGUUUUUGGUAUGAUUUUUUGGUAUGCAGUUUUUACCUGCAUGGUGGCCUAAGAGCACCUCAGAGGAGUCCUAUAUAUGGUGUCAAUACAAAUCUGAAGGAAAAGUGUGAAAAAUGAAGAAUUUUCUCUUUUGGGAUCUUAAUAAUUUUAAUAUCAUAAAAAUAGAAUUUAAGAGAUAAAACUACAAAGAAAUAUGGAAUUGCUGAAGAAAAGCUGAUGAUUAACAUGCACAUUUUUCUCCAUCAAAAUUAUUUGAGAACACUUUUUAUAUUUCUGUUCUUGUUCCUUAUUUAAUUUUAUCUUCAUGAGGAAAACUAUUUCUCAUUGUACUUGUCUUCAGACUCUCCACUCUUAUGUCUCUCUGAUACAAUGUUGAAGGCCACCAUAAAGAUAACUAUGUGGAUUCUAAGGUAUUUUAGAUAUUUUCUAUAGCAGAGCAGUCAUCUGCCAUUCUAUUUUGAUUUGUUAGAGCAUUGUCCUGCACUUAAAAUUAGCCUGAACCUAAUAAUUCAUUUGAAUCAGGGUAUGGACAGUAGACCACAGAACAAAAAGGCCAUUUACAAUCAUGUUCUUUCACAAACACAAAAGUUAUUUAAAAUUCACUUCUUAUUUUAAUAAAGCAACUGUGUACACAAGUUUGUACUGGAUU